CCAGGCUCCAACGACAGGCACCGGCACCCGAGACUCUGCUGACUGCUCUUGACUCUAUUUCUUGCCUGACACAGACAUUCCCUGUCCAGGGAAGUGUUUGAUUUAUGUUGGGGUUGGAGUGUCGGGAUUUUGCUGACAGAUCUGAAUGAGAUGUAAGCAAACCACAUACCUUUGGCCAGCACGGAAGGGAUGGAAAAGUUGAAGUCAGCCACCUCCAAAGCCUUAGCAAGCUGGUCAUUUCACAAAUUCUAAUAAGUGCGGCAUGCCGCCAUGGAAACAGGAGAAAUCAGGCUUCGGUUAGACUGAGUAGCUGUGGAAUAAUCACCGUGAGCUGUCUCUCUAAGAACAAGAUUACUUCUGGAAAAGAAACGUUCUUCCUCCAGACUUUAUGAUCUGCUCCCCUAAGGGAUGGCACAGCCCUUCAUCCCUCCCUGUCCGUUCCAGGAUUAUGACUGCCCGUGAGCCACUGUUUGAAAAGCGGUGACACUCCUGCCAUAUUGGGAGGAGUAAAGGUUAGGACCACUAAGACUUUACAGUUACCUAAGAUGUGAUGCAAAUCCAUUGACCUAUAUGAAACGAUUAAAAGGAGAGAUGGCCCGGCUGGCAUGGCUCAGUGGUUGAGCAUCAGCCUAUGAACCAGGAGGUCGUAGUUUGAUCCGGGUCAGGGCACAUGACUGGGUCGGCAUG